GAGGAACCCUGGGAGAUGUAGUCCUUCAGAGAGUGUGUCACGCCGUGUGCCUCACGCCACAAAUCCUAAAGUUUCCAGGUACCUGCAGAUGUCGACCAGCCUCCUUGAGAGUUUCCAAAUGAAAUUCGGCCCUAGGAUGAAAGAUGGGCUGCAAAGGCAGAAAGGAAGAGGGCUGCCACUUUUAUUUCUAGGUUUAGUGGCCAAGAAGCAGGGGAAGCAACUCACAAGAUGCGCAAAGGACUACCCUGGAUCUUUACCUCCUUUGUAAACAAGGAAAAUUUGAGGAACCAGAGAUAAUUGAACUAUUUGCAUGUCCAGCAACCGAUGCAACUCGCCUGGAGGAAGUGGGUGAUCACUGCCCUGGUUGCAACAGGCCUCUCAAUACAAAGGGUCAAGAAUGAACAUGGACAUACAGAGGUGAACAAGCUCUUCCAAACCCACUGGUACUAGAUGGAUCCGCCUCCAUGUUCCUGGAAAGUGACAUAAGAAGAAUUUCAAUGAAGCAAGGAUUGGAAUAAAAAACGUUGCCUUGUCUUGAAAUGGGGAAUACAUUAAGAAACUAAGGCGAUGAGCGCUCAGGCCUGGCCUAAAACCUGGCAACUCUGUUUUUGUUUUGCUUGAUUCUACUCUACCCUCUCUGAGGUGAAGUCUUUUUCUAAGGGCAGAGAAGAAAUAGCUCGGAACAAUGAGGCAGCGGCUGCUGUGCAACGUGAACGGGGAGAAGAGAAACUAGAGGUCCGAUUCUGAGAUGACACAGCUAACCGAGGGAGAUCUAUUUUGAAUCCUGGAAGGGAAAUGCAACCUCCUCUUUUUCCUCCUCCUUCUCAGUCCUAGCUACAAAGAACGGGACCUUUUGGUUUAUGGGAGCAACUCAUGUGAAGCACAAAGUUUUUGCAUGAUGCAACGGUUCCUGGUUCAAAUCCCACCAUCUCCAGUAAAAAAAAGGGUGGGGGGCGUUGACGUCAAUGGAGCACUGGUGCUUUUGAAAAGAUUGUACUAGACUACAUGAACUAAUGAGCUGACUCAAUGUAAGGCACUCAGCAUAUGCUCAGAAGUAUUUCACACCUUAAAGCACCCAUGUUUUUGAAAAUGUUUUUGAAGCCUACUAUAUCUAUAGAUAUCCAAAUAUGAAAUAAAAUAAAGUUAAUUAUAAAAUAAAAUAAUCCAAACUUAAAUAAAAUACUCAGAAUUGUA